rnacentral:sRNA from 1 species
AUAUGCCAGUCCGUAUCGGCGAGGAUGCGGCCAUUGUCGUUGAGCCGUUCCCGGAUCGAGGCAGGCACGUCGGUGCCCGUG